rnacentral:rRNA from 1 species
GGAUGGUACAAAGGGCUGCAAAACCGCGAGGUUAAGCGAAUCCCAUAAAACCAUUCUCAGUUCGGAUUGCAGGCUGCAACUCGCCUGCAUGAAGCCGGAAUCGCUAGUAAUCGCGGAUCAGCAUGCCGCGGUGAAUACGUUCCCGGGCCUUGUACACACCGCCCGUCACACCACGAGAGUUUGUAACACCCGAAGUCGGUGGGGUAACCUUUUGGAGCCAGCCGCCUAAGGUGGGACAGAUGAUUGGGGUGAAGUCGUAACAAGGUAGCCGUAUCGGAAGGUGCGGUU